GACGAACGCUGGCGGCGUGCCUAAUACAUGCAAGUAGGACGCAGUUGCGAACGGGUGAGUAACGCGUAGGUAACUGCCUAUUAGAGGGGGAUAACUAUUGGAAACGAUAGCUAAUACCGCAUACUAGUAGAUGGACCUGCGUUGUAUUAGCUAGUAGGUAGGGUAAUGGCCUAACUAGGCAACGAUACAUAGGCGAACGGGUGGGGUGAUCGGGCAAAAUGGGAACUGGAAAAGGGCCAGAAUCCUAAGGGAGGCAGCAGGAGGGAAUUUUCGGGAAAGGGGGGAACCCUGAACCGAGAAAGCCGCGGGAGUGAAGGAGGUUUUUGGAACUGAAAGCUCUGUUGUUAAGGGAGCGGUACUUAACCAGAAAGGGACGGCUAACUACGUGCCAGCAGCCGCGGUAAUAC
rnacentral:rRNA from 1 species